UGGCCUUCAGAUGUGUUCAGGCCAGGACUCUUAUCACACAUGUGAAGUUUGGGGAAGAUCAGACAUUUUAUGCCUGAGUUAUAACAACUUUUAUUCCCAUGGCGAGACAUCGAACUUCGUGACGGCGCCAUGGACACGCCUUUUUACGAAAACUCAAGAUCUUCACAAUUUAACAUCGCACAGGCCUUUAGAUUAGACUGACCACAAAAAAAAAUUGAUGUCAUAAAAUUUCUAGGAGUAGUUCAUCGCAGUGUAAAAUAUGUCACUUCCUGUUGCCAAUAGGUGGCGCUAUGACUAUAACUGAAUAUGGGCAUGUCAAUCUGUUCAUGUUAGGAGACUCAUCAAACAUGUGAAGUAUGGGGCAUAUUGGUCAUUGUAUGUCUGAGUUAUAGCAACUUCCUGUUUCAUGGCGAAUCAUCGAAAUUCGCCAGGCCGCCACGGACACGCCCAUUAACGAAAACUCAAAAGCUUCGCAAUUUAACAUCGCAAAGGCCUUCAGAUUAGGCAUACCAAAUUUGGUGUUGAUCUGAAUGAAUCUCUAGGAGGAGUUCGUUAAAAUACAACGCAUGGAAAUGACAAAAAUGACACAAAAUUUGCUCAUAAUAUUAGUAAUAACCGACUUCCUGUUGGGUUUUGGAUUUUGCUCCAAGAGACUUUUUUGUAGGUAUUGGAGAGUUACAUGUGUAUACCGAUUUUCAUACAUGUACAUGAAACGUAGCUCGAGGCGCACACCGUUGAACGUGUAUAGGUGGCGCUGUUGAGCCAUUUUGCCACACCCACUUCUGAAACCCAUAUCAGACGUAAAUUUUCGCCAGUUCUGAGGUGUGUGCAAAGUUUCAUGACUUUUCGAGCAUGUUUAGGCCCUCAAAAAUGCGAUUCAUCUUAGAGAAGAAGAAUAAUAAUAAUAAAUAUAGCUGCAAGCAGCGAUGGCGGGCUCAAGCCACCAAUGCCAUCGCCACCCCGGUGGCAUCAGGCAAACUGUGCCCAGCGGGCACAUGCAUUCACAAUAUCCCUCUGGCAGUGAGGUUUUAAAUGAUAUGGCAGUUAAAGGGUUAAUCCGAAUCAUCUAGACUUUAAAAUCACAUUCACAGAACAAUAUAUAUAUAUAUAUAUAUAUAUAUAUAUAUAUAUAUAUAUAUAACUUUAGUAACACUUUACAAUAAGAUUUC